rnacentral:rRNA from 1 species
AGGAUGACGGUCCUAUGGAUUGUAAACUGCUUUUGUACAGGAAGAAACAGUUCUACGUGUAGAACCUUGACGGUACUGUAAGAAUAAGGAUCGGCUAACUCCGUGCCAGCAGCCGCGGUAAUACGGAGGAUCCAAGCGUUAUCCGGAAUCAUUGGGUUUAAAGGGUCCGUAGGCGGUUUAGUAAGUCAGUGGUGAAAGCCCAUCGCUCAACGGUGGAACGGCCAUUGAUACUGCUAGACUUUGAAUUAUUAGGAAGUAACUAGAAUAUGUAGUGUAGCGGUGAAAUGCUUUAGAGAUUACAUGGAAUACCAAUUUGCGAAGGCAGGUUACUACUAAUGGAUUGACGCUGAUGGACGAAAGCGUGGGUAGCGAACAGGAUUAGAUACCCUGGUAGUCCAAGGGCGAAUUC